rnacentral:rRNA from 1 species
GUGGGGAAUAUUGGACAAUGGGCGAAAGCCUGAUCCAGCCAUGCCGCGUGUGUGAAGAAGGUCUUCGGAUUGUAAAGCACUUUAAGUUGGGAGGAAGGGCAGUAAGUUAAUACCUUGCUGUUUUGACGUUACCGACAGAAUAAGCACCGGCUAACUUCGUGCCAGCAGCCGCGGUAAUACGAAGGGUGCAAGCGUUAAUCGGAAUUACUGGGCGUAAAGCGCGCGUAGGUGGUUUUGUAAGUUGGAGGUGAAAUCCCCGGGCUCAACCUGGGAACGGCCUCCAAAACUGCAUGACUAGAGUACGGUAGAGGGUAGUGGAAUUUCCUGUGUAGCGGUGAAAUGCGGAGAUAUAGGAAGGAACACCAGUGGCGAAGGCGACUACCUGGACUGAUACUGACACUGAGGUGCGAAAGCGUGGGGAGCAAACAGGAUUAGAAACCCGGGUAGUCC